rnacentral:piRNA from 1 species
UCGUAACUUAUUGUCGUCCUU